rnacentral:misc_RNA from 1 species
GGAGAUUCAGAACUUGACAGAUUUUUAUGAUGAUAACAGAGCACAAUUUCUCGGAAUGCUACAAGACGCCGGUCAUAACUUUUUUGAUCCCAGGGGCAGACUUCUUCCCAGAUCGUAUGACGUUUUAGGUCUAUACACCACAUUCAUAUUUCAAAAGCAUGAUCCGGAUAUUGCACCUCCACUUACAACUCCAUUUUUGCCUGUUGGAAGCCACUAUCUUGAUGAGAUGGAAUGGCAAGUCAUUUUGUGGAAUGAAGAGGAGAAUGGACAGACUGAUUCGUCUAUAGGGUUAGGCAAGAUAAC